CCGCGCCCGUCCCGCCGCCCCCGCCCCCUACGGGAGGCAGCAGGGGGGAAUAUUGGACAAUGGGCUAAAAGCCUGAUCCAGCAAUUCUGUGUGCACGAUGAAGGUUUUCGGAUCGUAAAGUGCUUUCAGUGGGGAAGAAAAAAAUGACGGUACCCACAGAAGAAGCGACGGCUAAAUAUGUGCCAGCAGCCGCGGUAAUACAUAUGUCGCAAGCGUUAUCCGGAUUUAUUGGGCGUAAAGCGCGUCUAGGCGGUUUACUAAGUUUGGUGUGAAAAUGCGGGGCUCAACUCCGUAUUGCGCUGAAAACUGGUAGACUAGAGUACUGGAGAGGUGGGCGGAACUACAAGUGUAGAGGUGGAAUUCGUAGAUAUUUGUAGGAAUGCCGAUGGAGAAGUCAGCUCACUGGACAGAUACUGACGCUAAAGCGCGAAAGCGUGGGGAGCAAACAGGAUUAGAAACCCGGGUAGUCCAAAUUUAACCCCGGUCUCCAAUG
rnacentral:rRNA from 1 species